GAUGAAGAACGUAGCGAAAUGCGAUACUUGGUGUGAAUUGCAGAAUCCCGUGAACCAUCGAGUCUUUGAACGCAAGUUGCGCCCGAAGCCAUUUGGUUGAGGGCACGUCUGCCUGGGCGUCACAUAUCGUUGCCCGAUGCCUAUUGCUCUGUGAUAGGAAAUUCUAGGGCGAAAGAUGGCUUCCCGUGAGCGUUGUUGCCUCGCGGUUGGUUGAAAAUUGAGUCCUUGGUAGGGUGUGCCAUGAUAGAUGGUGGUCGAGUUUGCACGAGACCGAUCAUGUGUGCGCUCCCCAAAAUAUGGACUCUUUGACCCCACACGCGUCUUUUGACGCUCAUGACGAGACCUCAGGUCAGGCGGGGCUACCCGCUGAGUUUAAGCAUAUCAAUAAGCGGAGGA
rnacentral:misc_RNA from 1 species